rnacentral:rRNA from 1 species
AAGUCGUAACAAGGUUUCCGUUGGUGAACCAGCGGAAGGAUCAUUACAGAGUUCAUGCCCUUACGGGUAGAUCUCCCACCCUUGAAUAACAUACAUUGUUGCUUUGGCGGACGCUUCGGCGGCCGCCAGAGAACCCUAAACUCUUGUUUACAGUGUCGUCUGAGUACUAUAUAAUAGUUAAAACUUUCAACAACGGAUCUCUUGGUUCUGGCAUCGAUGAAGAACGCAGCGAAAUGCGAUAAGUAAUGUGAAUUGCAGAAUUCAGUGAAUCAUCGAAUCUUUGAACGCACAUUGCGCCCCUUGGUAUUCCGGGGGGCAUGCCUGUUCGAGCGUCAUUAUAACCCCUCAAGCUCAGCUUGGUGUUGGGGCCUGCCAACUGGCAGCCCUUAAAAUCAGUGGCGGCGCCAUCUGGCUCUAAGCGUAGUAAUUUCUCUCGCUAUAGGGUCCCGGUGGAUGCUGGCCAGCAACCCCCAAUUUUCUAUGGUUGACCUCGGAUCAGGUAGGGAUACCCGCUGAACUUAA